rnacentral:rRNA from 1 species
UGGGGGAUAUUGCACAAUGGGGGAAACCCUGAUGCAGCGACGCCGCGUGAGUGAGGAAGUAUUUCGGUAUGUAAAGCUCUAUCAGCAGGGAAGAAAGAAGACGGUACCUGAGUAAGAAGCCCCGGCUAACUACGUGCCAGCAGCCGCGGUAAUACGUAGGGGGCAAGCGUUAUCCGGAUUUACUGGGUGUAAAGGGAGCGUAGACGGCAAGGCAAGCCUGGAGUGAAAGGCGGGGGCCCAACCCCCGGACUGCUCUGGGAACUGUCUGGCUAGAGUGCAGGAGGGGUAAGUGGAAUUCCUAGUGUAGCGGUGAAAUGCGUAGAUAUUAGGAGGAACACCAGUGGCGAAGGCGGCUUACUGGACUGUAACUGACGUUGUGGCUCGAAAGCGUGGGGGGCAAACAGG